rnacentral:rRNA from 1 species
AUUGAACGCUGGCGGCGUGCCUAACACAUGCAAGUCGAGCGGUAACAGGUGUAGCAAUACAUGCUGACGAGCGGCGGACGGGUGAGUAACGCUUGGGAAUCUGCCUAUUAGUGGGGGACAACCCGGGGAAACUCGGGCUAAUACCGCAUACGCUCUACGGAGGAAAGCCGGGGACCGCAAGGCCUGGCGCUAAUAGAUGAGCCCAAGUCGGAUUAGCUAGUUGGUAGGGUAAUGGCCUACCAAGGCGACGAUCCGUAACUGGUCUGAGAGGACGACCAGUCACACCGGAACUGAGACACGGUCCGGACUCCUACGGGAGGCAGCAGUGGGGAAUAUUGGACAAUGGGCGAAAGCCUGAUCCAGCGACGCCGCGUGGGUGAAGAAGGCCUGCGGGUUGUAAAGCCCUUUCAGUGGGGAAGAAAAGCCUCGACCUAACACGUCGGGGUCUUGACGUAACCAUAGAAGAAGCACCGGCUAACUCUGUGCC